rnacentral:RNase_P_RNA from 1 species
AGAUAAUCGCUGUUAAUUUAUUAAUAGAGGAAAGUCCAGGCUCGCACGAUCUGCGAUGAUCGUAGUGUUUGUGCAUAACGAACAAAUAAGUUAUGGCAGUGUAGACUGACGACAGGCCUAAGACCUAAACAAGUUACUUGCAUGGUUGAUAAGCUAUAAAGUGCCACAGAAACAAAACAAUGUAGAAAUACAAUGAUGAAAAGAGGUAAACUCCGCAAGCGAGAAACCCAAAUUUGGUAGGGGAAUCGGUGCUAAGAAAUUGAACGAGGCAUUGGACAUGAUGAAAAUGGUGUAGAUAAAUGAUUGUCUGAAAAACAGAACUUGGCUUACAG